rnacentral:piRNA from 1 species
UACAAUUUCCAUGGGCCGUUUAGUAAUUA